GGGGAUUUGGCUCAGUGGCAGAGCGCUUGCCUAGGAAGCGCAAGGCCCUGGGUUCAGUCCCCA
rfam:Rattus norvegicus chromosome 8, whole genome shotgun sequence.